rnacentral:rRNA from 1 species
AGCUCCAAUAGCGUAUAUUAAAGUUGUUGCAGUUAAAAAGCUCGUAGUUGGAUUUCUGGUGGAGGUGAUCGGUCGGCCUCGCAAGGGGUCUGCACCUGUAUCGUCCUUUGCCAUCCUUCAGGAAGGCGCUUCUUGUAUUAACUUACGGGUUGCGAACUCCUGAUCUUUUACUGUGAAAAAAUUAGAGUGUUCAAAGCAGGCUUAGGCCGUUGAAUACAUUAGCAUGGAAUAAUGAGAUAGGGCCUUGGUGGUUUUCUAUUUUGUUGGUUUGCACGCCAAGGUAAUGAUUAAUAGGGAUAGUUGGGGGUAUUCGUAUUCAAUUGUCAGAGGUGAAAUUCUUGGAUUUAUGGAAGACGAACUACUGCGAAAGCAUUUACCAAGGAUGUUUUCAUUA